GACGUAGGGCGCAAGCGUUGUCCGGAAUUAUUGGGCGUAAAGAGCUCGUAGGCGGUUUGUCACGUCGGGUGUGAAAGCCCGGGGCUUAACCCCGGGUCUGCAUUCGAUACGGGCAGACUAGAGUGUGGUAGGGGAGAUCGGAAUUCCUGGUGUAGCGGUGAAAUGCGCAGAUAUCAGGAGGAACACCGGUGGCGAAGGCGGAUCUCUGGGCCAUUACUGACGCUGAGGAGCGAAAGCGUGGGGAGCGAACAGG
rnacentral:rRNA from 1 species